GGUACCUACGGGGCGCAGCAGUGAGGAAUAUUGGUCGAUGGGCGCGAGCCUGAACCAGCCAAGUCGCGUGAGGGAGGGCGGUCCUAUGGAUUGUAAGCCUCUUUUGUCGGGGAGCAAAAGACGCCACGCGUGGCGUACCGAGAGUACCCGAAGAAAAAGCAUCGGCUAACUCCGUGCCAGCAGCCGCGGUAAUACGGAGGAUGCGAGCGUUAUCCGGAUUUAUUGGGUUUAAAGGGUGCGCAGGCGGAAGAUCAAGUCAGCGGUAAAAUUGAGAGGCUCAACCUCUUCGAGCCGUUGAAACUGGU
rnacentral:rRNA from 1 species